GGGGGUGAUCUGGAUUCGACCGGAUAUCUUGAAGCGUAAGUUGCGUGUCGUGGUUGAUCAGUUGGCCACGUAAAAAGCUGAUCAAAUUUUUAGUUGCAGAUGCAAAUCUAGCAAUGGCCGCCUAAGAAAAGGUAGCCCUGGCUGAGGAGGGCUGUCGGAGUCGUCCGAAUGCCAGUCACAAUUCCGAAUCGUUCAUCGUCAUGCUCAACACGCGAAGAACUAAAUAAAGUUUUGAGAUAGCCAAUGGUGAAGCCUGUUCGGCAGCGGCACCAAAGGCGAAGCGUCUCCCUCGGGAGGCAUAAACGUCGGACUACACACGUAGACGCAUACGUGGAUGUAUCGCGGGACGCGGGUUCAAUUCCCGCCGCCUCCAC
rnacentral:tmRNA from 1 species